CUCCUUUUGAGCAUGACGUUAUUCGCCCUGUCGGGCGUCCUCACAAAUUACCUGCAUUCAGAGAUUCAUACCGGCACAGGUCGGUAUGCGAAGUCCCUUUUGGGGCCUUAGCUCAGCUGGGAGAGCACCUGCUUUGCAAGCAGGGGGUCGUCGGUUCGAUCCCGACAGGCUCCACCAUAUUGAGUGAAAAGACUUCGGGUCUGUAGCUCAGGUGGUUAGAGCGCACCCCUGAUAAGGGUGAGGUCGGUAGUUCGAGUCUACCCAGACCCACCACUCUGAAUGUAGUGCACACUUAAGAAUUUAUAUGGAUCAGCGUUGAGGCUGAGACAUGUUCUUUUAUAACUUGUGACGUAGCGAGCGUUUGAGAUAUCUAUCUAAACGUGUCGUUGAGGCUAAGGCGGGGACUUCGAGUCCCUAAAUAAUUGAGUCGUAUGUUCGCGUUGGUGGCUUUGUACCCCACACAACACGUACAUGUAGCUCCGAGGCAACUUGGGGUUAUAUGGUCAAGCGAAUAAGCGCACACGGUGG
rnacentral:tRNA from 1 species